rnacentral:rRNA from 1 species
CCUACGGGGGGCAGCAGUGGGGAAUAUUGUACAAUGGGCGAAAGCCUGAUGCAGCAACGCCGCGUGAAGGAAGACGGUUUUCGGAUUGUAAACUUCUGUUCUUAGUGAAGAAUAAUGACGGUAACUAAGGAGCAAGCCACGGCUACUACGUUCCAGCAGCCGCGGUUAUACGUAGGGGGCAAGCGGUGUCCGGAAUUACUGGGUGUUAAGGGAGCGUAGGCGGGAAGGCAAGGUAGCUGUGAAAACUACGGGCUUAACCUGUUGACUGCAGUUGAAACUGGCCUUCUUGAGUGAAGUAGAGGUAGGCGGAAUUCCGAGUGUAGCGGUGAAAUGCGUAGAUAUUCGGAGGAACACCGGUGGCGAAGGCGGCCAACUGGGCUUUAACUGACGCUGAGGCUCGAAAGUGUGGGGAGCAAACAGGAUUAGAUACCCCUGUAGUC